rnacentral:rRNA from 1 species
UUGUUGGUAAGGUAAAAGCUUACCAAGGCUUCGAUCAGUAGCUGGUCUGAGAGGACGACCAGCCACACUGGGACUGAGACACGGCCCAGACUCCUACGGGAGGCAGCAGUGGGGAAUUUUGGACAAUGGGGGCAACCCUGAUCCAGCCAUGCCGCGUGAGUGAAGAAGGCYUUCGGGUUGUAAAGCUCUUUCAGCCGGAACGAAACGGUUACGGAUAACACCCGUGACUACUGACGGUACCGGAAGAGGAAGCACCGGCUAACUACGUGCCAGCAGCCGCGGUAAUACGUAGGGUGCGAGCGUUAAUCGGAAUUACUGGGCGUAAAGCGUGCGCAGGUGGUUUUGUAAGUCAGAUGUGAAAGCCCCGGGCUCAACCUGGGAACUGCGUUUGAAACUACAAGACUAGAGUGUGGCAGAAGGGGGUGGAAUUCCGCGUGUAGCAGUGAAAUGCGUAGAGAUGUGGAGGAACACCGAUGGCGAAGGCAGCCCCCUGGGUCAACACUGACGCUCAGGCACGAAAGCAUGGGGAGCAAACAGGAUUAGAUACCCUGGUAGUCCAUGCCCUAAACGAUGUCAACUAGUUGUCGGGCCUUUACGGGCUUGGUAACGUAGCUAACGCGUGAAGUUGACCGCCUGGGGAGUACGAUCGCAAGAUUAAAACUCAAAUGAAUUGACGGGGACCCGCACAAGCGGUGGAUUAUGUGGAUUAAUUCGAUGCAACGCGAAAAACCUUACCUACCCUUGACAUGUAUCGAAGCCCGCAGAAAAGCGGGGGUGCCCGAAAGGGAACGAUAACACAGGUGCUGCAUGGCUGUCGUCAGCUCGUGUCGUGAGAUGUUGGGKUAAGUCCCGCAACGAGCGCAACCCUUGUCAUUAAUUGCCAUCAUUUAGUUGGGCACUUUAAUGAGACUGCCGG